rnacentral:rRNA from 1 species
GAUAACUACUGGAAACGGUAGCUAAUACCGCAUAACGUCGCAAGACCAAAGUGGGGGACCUUCGGGCCUCAUGCCAUCAGAUGUGCCCAGAUGGGAUUAGCUAGUAGGUGGGGUAACGGCUCACCUAGGCGACGAUCCCUAGCUGGUCUGAGAGGAUGACCAGCCACACUGGAACUGAGACACGGUCCAGACUCCUACGGGAGGCAGCAGUGGGGAAUAUUGCACAAUGGGCGCAAGCCUGAUGCAGCCAUGCCGCGUGUGUGAAGAAGGCCUUCGGGUUGUAAAGCACUUUCAGCGGGGAGGAAGGCGUUAAGGUUAAUAACCUUGUCGAUUGACGUUACCCGCAGAAGAAGCACCGGCUAA